rnacentral:lncRNA from 1 species
CCAUAGUAUUCUGUUAUUUUCAUUCAAUAAUUCAUGCACCAUAUCACAUAUUUUAUGUUUCCUGUAUUCACAAUAAUUUACAUACAUUGUAUUUUAUUCUACAAUAUAAUGCAUGCCCUUAUCGUCAGAAUACGCAUACAUAAUAUGUACACAAAUCAGUAGCAAAAUAAAAAAAAAUAGAGUAAAAAAUGAGAAAGCAGUAGGGAGAAAAACAGUUAAAGAAUUUGAGAAAGAGAUCAGACGCUGAUCGAAAAAGGGAGAAAACUGGCCGGAAAUGGGACUGUCGCCUUUCAUUUUCGUCUCCCUCACCGGAGUGUUGACCCCGUCCCUCCAUUUUCCGACCGGCGAAUCAAUCGACAGACCAUUCUACGCCGGAAAAACAUCACCCGCACCUCCGCCGCCCCCAUUUUCUUCUCUCUCCAUACUAGAUAUGACCGGAUCUACCAUCACCGACGAAGCUCGAUGCGCCGCUUUCUUCUCCCACUACCGACGUCGAUGGCUGGUCGUUGCCGCCUCUCUUCUUGCUUCCUCACCGAAAUUAGUGGCUAGCGGAAUCCCAAUUCCCAAUCUUAUACGAGUCACGUUAUUUGCACCGAAAAAUAUGAAACAGAAAUAUCUCUCUAAAAUUUAGCAUUGAUUUUUGUUAUUUUAGUUUUCUCCAAAUAAAUGUUCC